GUACAGUAAUUUCUAAUUAUUAUUUUUUACAUUUUUUGUGUAAACAUUUAAUAAGAUUAAUGUUCAUUGUGGUUGGAUUACAGGGCAUUUCUUGUUGACAAACCUACUACUGGACAAGAUGAAGGAGACAGCAAAAUCUACAGGUGUCGAAGGAAGGAUUGUGAAUCUAUCUUCGAUAGCUCACCAGCAUACUUAUUCUGAAGGAAUACUAUUCGAAAAGCUCAAUGACGAAAAGAGGUAUGCAAAUAUUAAGCUUAUAUUAGUCGGAUGUUUUUCUAUAAUUCAUUCAUCUUAUAUGCAAGUAGUCAUGUGUGUAGCGUGUUAUCUAUACAUGACAUUUUGCAUUGUUUGGGUACACUUCUUGUUAAACUCCGCUUUCACCAGUUAUUCGGACAAAAAGNGUAAUCCUAACUUCUUUUAAGUGCUUCCUGACUUUUUNNNNNNNNNNNNNNNNNNNNNNNNNNNNNNNNNNNNNNNNNNNNNNNNNNNNNNNNNNNNNNNNNNNNNNNNNNNNNNNNNNNNNNNNNNNNNNNNNNNNNNNNNNNNNNNNUUCGACUAAUUGCUUAUAACUUAUAAACUCAGAAGUCGACUUAUUUAUGUGUUGUCAAACACCACCGAAGUUUAGAAAGGAGACGGUUGAUAGGUUGGUGGAUGAAUUUAUUUAGUCAAUUAAAUGUUCCCAUACGCCCCUCAUGCCUCCUCCUUAAUUACCUACAACUCGCCAGAUCAUUAUCUUCUUUUUUCAUUCUUUUUUAACAUAUUUAUUUUAAAUUACUUUUUUAAUAUUUCAAAAUUGUUAUUUGUAUGUAAAUAAUUUUUUUACAUAAAAUUGGAAAAUCAUGCUUUAUACUAUUAUGUGUACUUUAUUGAUUAUUUAUAUAUGUAUUCUUCAAUAAUUUCAUGACCAAAGAACCCUUUUUUUUAAAAUUUUCAUGUCACUAAAUAAUAUUAAAAUAUAGCACCGAAAAAAUGGAUUUGUUUCGUAUAAGAAAGUCUUUGAUCUGACAGACAAAGAUAUGCUUCAGAAAUUUUAAAUUCGUAAAUAAUAGGUACAUUCAUACUGGAUUUAGGAAAAGGUAAACACGGGCCGGCCUGUAUUACCUUUGACGGUAAAAAUAAAUAGGUGGUCUAUAUAUACACAUCAUAUCAUGAAUGUCAGCUCUUAUCUCUGCUACCAGUAUAAGCUAAACAUCUCUGUGUCUCUCCUCUCCUGCCCAUCUCUCUAUACUCCUUUUGCAUAUCUCAUUCAAGAGCCAGAUACAAACACACAUAAUAAUAUAGAAAAGAAACAAGGCAGAACAUGGGUAUAUUUUCAUUGAUGACAGGAAUGGCAGGAGCAAGCGGCUUCGGAUCUGCUUCAACUGCUGAACAAGUCACUGACGGAAUCGAUGCUUCCAAUCUCACUGCCAUCAUAACCGGUAAUCAUAUCCCGAACAAUUUUAGCGUGAAAACACGUAAAAUAUUUUGUGUUAGAAAUUUUUUAGUCGAUAUUGUGAUUACUGAAUCCAUAUAUUUUAUAUGCCCACGCGUACAGGUACAGAAACUGUUACUUUUUUUUUAUGUAUUCGCACAUUAUUACUUUUUUAUGUAUUCAUCUUAAUUUUAAUAAAAUUUGGACUAAGCUGGUAGUAAAAUGAUAUCACGUGAUCAGGAGGUCAUUGUUAUUUCACACAAAUAUGUUCUUAGCUAGUAUUAGUAAGAUUGCAUCUGAAUAUUAGCUGCUCAUAUGCGGUAUGUAUCUGUGAUUGAUUUCCGGGGACAUACAACACAAGAAACUGAUACUAUAAAUUUGUGCGGAUACACUAGUAAGGAAAGAUAUUUAAUUCCACGGUCUAAUCAGGUAGGAAUGGAUUCUUUCAAUAUUCAAAUAUAAUUUGCUCGUUAUUAUAGAUAUGGGGUCAACAUGACAUAAAUAGCAAUAUGAUUUAGAUUGUACCAAAGUUGGUGGUCACAAGUUGAUACAGAUGCCAACCAUAUAUGGUCCUUUAAUUUCUUAUGUGACCUGAUUGGCUGGUUGACCCGGAUGUUGGGAGAUUCGGAGGGGAUGUAUUUUCAAGCUCAACUAGACAACUACUGAUGAAAAUAUUGAAUAAGAUAGAAUCAGCACCUUAUUUAUCUAAUUGUUUAUCUUUCAUUUUUUUUCCGGGAUGAUGAGAAUUCAUACCUUCUUAAAGAAAAGGAGAAGGCGGAUGUUUGAGUGGAUUUGAUUAUAUAAGAUAUAGGAUAGACAUUGGACUUUGUGUUUCUGAAUAGCAAUUCCUUUGGAAAAACCUAUUUUAAUUGUCCUGAUUAACUUUACAGAAUUGAAGAAUAUGUUGUAUAAGUAAAAAUAUAUAUAUUGUGCAAUGUGUACUUACAAUCAAGUUGUAAUUUAAAAAGCAAGAUCAAACACAUAAAAUGGUAUGGACAAUUAUUGAUUAGUGGCAAAUAUCUUGUUGUAAUAGUAUAUAAGUAGUUAGUAUGCUUUUAUACUUUUGUCUAAAUUGACACUUACAUUAAAUAUCAAUUAAUUAGGAAAAAUAGUACAAUAUUUUACUUCCUCGGUCCUAUCAUAUUCUUUAGGUUGGGUUUCGACAAGAAUUUAAGAAAAAUGUAUAAAUUAUUAUAAAAUAGUAAGAAAAUCGAGUAAAAUGAGGGUCUGAUACUCUCAUUAGUAUUUAAUUGAUAGAUCAGAGAAAACAUGUUAAGGUAGUUGGGUUUUAGAAAAUUUUGAAAUGUAAAAUAAUGAGAAAAACAUCCUAAAAGAAAAUUUUGAAGAAAUGGGGGGAAGAGAGUAUAGUCUCUCCUAGCUCGCUCUCUCCCCCUCAUUUCAUUUUGUUGAUAAAGAGUUUCUAAUGAACAUGGAAAAAAUGAAAAAAAAACCAGCAUUAAUUAAGGAAUUAGUUUUGUAUCAAGACCUACAUCAUAUUAGCAUUUGCACUUUACAUGAUUUGCAAAAAAAAACUGCAUUACUUUGGAUCAACACAAUAUAUGUAAUGGAAUUUAGUUGAUUGUUAUGAUCUGAUAAUAAUUAUACCUGUACAGGAGGGGCAAGUGGAAUUGGGUUUGAGACAGCAAGAGUAUUGGCACUGAGGAGAGCUCAUGUGGUAAUAGCAACGAGGAAUGUAGAGGCUGCAAAUGAAGCAAAACAGCUUAUUCUUAAAGAACAAGAAAAUGCUCGCGUCGAUGUUCUUAAACUUGACCUAUGCUCCAUCAAAUCCGUCAGGGCAUUUGCUGAUAGCUUCAAGGCUCUUAACCUUCCGCUCAACAUUCUCAUGUACCUACAUUUUUCUUCCUCUAAACAGCAUAUUAAUUCUAUUUUGCACACGACAGUGUCAAAGUUGCAAAAGUGCUCGUAAAUAUAUCUUAUGUUUUUUUUUUCAGAAACAAUGCUGGCAUUAUGUUUUGCCCUUACAAACUUUCAGAAGAUGGGAUUGAGAUACAAUUUGCAACAAACCAUCUGGGUGAGUGGUACAGUAAUUUCUAAUUAUUAUUUUUUACAUUUUUUGUGUAAACAUUUAAUAAGAUUAAUGUUCAUUGUGGUUGGAUUACAGGGCAUUUCUUGUUGACAAACCUACUACUGGACAAGAUGAAGGAGACAGCAAAAUCUACAGGUGUCGAAGGAAGGAUUGUGAAUCUAUCUUCGAUAGCUCACCAGCAUACUUAUUCUGAAGGAAUACUAUUCGAAAAGCUCAAUGACGAAAAGAGGUAUGCAAAUAUUAAGCUUAUAUUAGUCGGAUGUUUUUCUAUAAUUCAUUCAUCUUAUAUGCAAGUAGUCAUGUGUGUAGCGUGUUAUCUAUACAUGACAUUUUGCAUUGUUUGGGUACACUUCUUGUUAAACUCCGCUUUCAC
rnacentral:lncRNA from 1 species